UUGUUACUCCCUCCAUCCGGACUUACUUGUUACAAAAAAUGAUAAACAUGGAUGUAUUUAGAACUAAAACAUGUCUAGAUACAUCUAUUUAUACGACAAUUAUUUCUGGAUGGAGGGAGUAGGUG
rfam:Triticum aestivum genome assembly, contig: Triticum_aestivum_CS42_TGACv1_scaffold_513410_6BS